rnacentral:rRNA from 1 species
AGCGCAGGUGGUUGUAUAAGUCUGAAGUAAAAGGCAGUGGCUCGACCAUUGUGUGCUUUGGAAACUGUACAACUUGAGUGCAAAAGGGGAGAGUGGAAUUCCAUGUGUAGCGGUGAAAUGCGUAGAUAUAUGGAGGAACACCGGUGGCGAAAGCGGCUCUCUGGUCUGUAACUGACACUGAGGCUCGAAAGCGUGGGAGCAAACA